CUCCUCCUCCUCGGCUUCCUGCUCUCCUUCUAUCCGCCUCCAGCCCGUGUGUGUCAGCACAUCCCUGCCCCGCACUGUUAUAUCAUUGCCUGAUCCUUCUGGGCCUCUGGUUUCUGCAAUGAUGAAGCAUCUAUAGAAAUGUCAUCAUCCAGUGGUUUCUGACAAGCCAUGUUAAGAAGAUACACACAGUGGUCCCUCAAGUUACAAUAUGAAGUGGUUCCAGGACGACCAUUGUAUGUUGAAACCAUUGUAUGUUGAGACCAGAACUCUAUGGAAACCUGGUAAUUGGUUCUGAAGCCACCAAAAUAUCAUCCAAAAAUAGGAAAAGGAGACAGAUUCUACAGUCUAUAGAGCCGUCUUGGACAGCAACGCACAAGAUGCUUUUUUCGCCUCAUUCUGGUGAUCGUCGGGGGUCUGAACAUCCAGACACUGAUCAAAUAUUUUGACAUAUCUCUUUGAUAUGUCAAAAGCUUCUACCAAGAUGCAGUACAAGAUUAUUCAGUAUUAAUAGUUAUAAACACAUUUCUGUCCCAAUUUCACAAAACUCAAUUCAAAAUUCAAUCCAAAUUGAUUGGACUAGGCACUCUUCACCCAGUGUGUACUGUACAGAGGCAAGGAAUCCUGAGUUUUACAGCAGUCUCUGCUCCUGUACACACUUUAUAUUGGGAAUUGCAGAACAAUCAGGGCACUUCUGGAUCCGAAUACAGAUAUGAAGAUUCAAAGUAUUGACCCAAAACAAAUCUCAGGAAAUGUGCACAUUUCUAGUCCAAUGUAAACAUUAUUGGUCUUAUGUGAAGGGAAUAUUAGAUAUGUCAUAUAAAGCAGGUUGCUGGUUAAAGGGGUACUCUGGGGUACUGGACUAAUGAGACACUUAUCCCCUA